rnacentral:lncRNA from 1 species
CAGCCCAAGGUCGGUCAGGAAAGCCGAGUCCAGGCGGCUGGUUCUGUGGAGAUCUGAUACUACUGUUCCAUUGUUGAACUCAAAGGUCUUGUAGCCUCUCUUCAGGUCACAUGUGUAGGAGCCUCUGUCCGUUGGGAGCCAAGGCGUGGGGGGCGAGGCCGUCAUCACACGCAACCGGCGUCUGCCCACAGCUCCUCCGCCGGGUGUCCCUACCUCCAGACAAAAGGAGGACGCCUCAGCAGGCGCCUGCACGGGGCAAGGCCCCCACAUUGUUCCACAGGCGGCCGGACAGCGCUGAACAAUGGGGCCGAGGAUGGAGUCCAUUUCUGAAGCUGCCUAUAAAUAGCAGGUUAAGCGUUGCCGCAAGCGAGAAACAGCGAUUUGCUGCCGACGGACGCGUCCACCGUCCGGCGCUGACAGGAAACAAAUGGCAUCCAUUUAUGAAUUAAUAGCAGGUCAUCUCCGACAAGGUCACUUUAAAAUAUUAUUCAUUUAAUUACUCCCGUCCAGGUUUUAAACCCUAACAUUAUCAACAUGAAACACCACAAGAACAUUUUUAUCUCCAAACGUCACAUUUAUGGCAUUUAUCCAGAGCGACUUACAGUCAGUAAGUGGUUUGGUAGUUUGUAAAAAUUUCUGCCCCGAGUAGCUUCCACUCAGCGUCGUAGGUACAGGUCUGAUUUGUAACCAUUGUGAGAUACGCGCAAUUACGAGUUUUGAGAACGACUGGUUUAAGUCUAUUCCUGGUCAAAUGCAUCCCGGCCAAAUCUGGGUUUCCAAAAUAGAACGCUGUCCUCACUGGAGUACAUUUUAGAUGAACAAAAAGGUGGCUGAACCGGCCUUGGAACUGGUUUUCACCCAGGCCAGGCCUCUGGUGCAGCGCCCGACCCCGUAUCUGACCCCUAGCUGUCCACUGGUUAUAAAACAGUCAUGAGAUGUAGUCUGUACAGAAGCAGACAAAGCUCAGCCAGGACGGUGAGCUGCACUGGACAAGACGGAGGGGGCAGGGACGGGGACUGAAUAACAAAAACACAGCAGAAAGUGGUGAUAAAGGCAGCAGGACCUUCAGCUUUUUCCUCCACGAGUCGCUGAUUAAAUUCCAGCGGCGUGACUCCAUUGUGCUUUUUCAUUAAUCUUCACCAGCCGGCCAGCAUCGCCCUCCUCCCCCCUGCGCCACCCACCUUCCUGGCC